UACGGAGGGGGCUAGCGUUGUUCGGAAUUACUGGGCGUAAAGCGCGCGUAGGCGGAUCUGCAAGUCGGGGGUGAAAUCCCGAGGCUCAACCUCGGAACUGCCUUCGAUACUGCGGGUCUCGAGUCCGGGAGAGGUGAGUGGAAUUCCUAGUGUAGAGGUGAAAUUCGUAGAUAUUAGGAAGAACACCAGUGGCGAAGGCGCUCACUGGCCCGGUACUGACGCUGAGGCGCGAAAGCCAGGGGAGCAA
rnacentral:rRNA from 1 species